GAACCAUGAAAAUGAGGUCAAGGUCAGUUGAACCAUAUGCCAGGCAGACAUGUACAGCUAACAAUGUUUCCAUACAACAAAUAUAGUUGACCUAUUGCUUAUAGUUUAAGAAAAUAGACCAAAACACAAAAACUUAACACUGAGCAAUGAACCCUGAAAACCAGGUCAAGGUCAAAUAAAACCUGCACGACUGACAUAUAGAUCAUAAAAUAUUUCCAUAAACCAAAUAUAGUUGACCUAUAUAUGACAUAUAGUAUUAGAUAAAAAGACCAAAACUGAAAAACUUAACUUUGACCACUGAACCAUGAAAAUGAGGUCAAGGUCAGAUGAUAUCUGCCCGCUAGACAUGUACACCUUACAAUCAUUCCAUACAACAAAUAUAGUAAACCUAUUGCAUAAAGUAUGAGAAAAACAGACCAAAACACAAAAACUUAACUAUAACCACUGAACCAUGAAAAUGAGGUCAAGGUCAGAUGACAUCUGCCCGCUAGACAUGUACACCUUACAAUCAUUCCAUACAACAAAUACAGUAAACCUAUUGCAUAAAGUAUGAGAAAAACAGACCAAAACACAAAAACUUAACUAUAACCACUGAACCAUGAAAAUGAGGUCAAGGUCAGAUGACACCUGCCAGUUGGACAUGUACACAUUACAGUCCUUCCAUACACCUAAUAUACUAGACCUAUUGCUUAUAGUAUCUGAGAUAUGGACUUGACCACCAAAACUUAACCUUGUUCACUGAUCCAUGAAAUGAGGUCGAGGUCAAGUG
rnacentral:lncRNA from 1 species